ensembl:rRNA 5S_rRNA 5S ribosomal RNA
GUCUACAACCAUAUCACCCUGAAAACACCUGAUCUCAUUUGAUCCUGUGAAGGUAAGCAGGGUCCAGCCUGGUUAGUACCUGGAUGGGAGACCCUCUGGGAACACUGGAAGCUGUAGGCU